rnacentral:rRNA from 1 species
UACGAAGGGGGCUAGCGUUGCUCGGAAUCACUGGGCGUAAAGCGCACGUAGGCGGGUUGUUAAGUCAGGGGUGAAAUCCUGGAGCUCAACUCCAGAACUGCCUUUGAUACUGGCAACCUAGAGACUGGAAGAGGUUAGUGGAAUUCCCAGUGUAGAGGUGAAAUUCGUAGAUAUUGGGAAGAACACCAGUGGCGAAGGCGGCUAACUGGUCCAGCACUGACGCUGAGGUGCGAAGCGUGGGGAGC